GAGUAGAUCGUCUCCACAGAAAUCAGCGGAGGCUUCCACAGUCCCUGGUUGGAAUGGAACCGGCGGUGAGGAUGAGAGGCGCUGAAGACCAGAAGACCCAGGGCGUGAACGGGGCGUGUCAUCCCUGGAGUUUCAGUAGAAUUUCAGGCCUGUCUGCUUGAGCAGCAGAGGAGGAGUUUCUGUGUGCCUGUGAGAGACUGUGUGUGUGUGUGUGUGUGUGUGUGUGUGUGAGAUGAAUGAACAGGGUUGUGUACGUGUGUGUGCGUUAGACAAAUGAACAGUGUUGUGUACCUGUGUGAAUUGUCACUGUGACUCCAGGCUCUAGGCUCUGCAGAUUCCUCAGCCCUAUCGCCUCACAGACACUUGGGAUGUGCAGCAGGUAAAAGAGAGAAGCCAGAUUCAUGGAGGCGUGAAGGAUCCCAGCAAGAAAACACAGACUUGAUCUUGAGACGAGAUUUUUGAAAUUGGUUGCGGCCUCAAGGCAGGCUCUGAGAAGACUCGAUAAAGAGUUCUCAGGAAUAGGCAUCCCUCCUGGAUAUUUCCCCCUUGGAAGCGCCGAGGAGCCAGCUCUAUGUUUGUAACCAUAGCAUUUCUAAAGCUCCAGCCCCAGGAACCUGCUGUGAAUUAGAGACAGAUUCCACCCUAGGCAUCACUGAUCUUGGCCUCUCUUGUAUUGGGAAGGUCAACACUGUUCCAGUUUCUCUCCUACUCCCAUCUGGUUGUGCUCGGUGAAGUAGUGCUACCCUUCUGUUAAAAAAAAAAAAAAAAAAAAGAUCCUGAAAGAGGAAAGAAUUUUUGCUACACAUCUGAAAGCUAAAGUCCAGGUGAGUUUAUAUUUCCUCAUUACUUGUAAGAUGCUCUUUAAUUUUAAAGACAUGAGACCCUUUCUUCUCUUUGGAAAUGUCCUGCCUAACAGUGACGUAUCUGUGAAUAUGCCAUUACAGCCUCCUUUCAAGGCCCUUAAGCCCUUCUCUUCAUAAUUUAUUUAACCUUUUGCCUACUGCGAGCUAUUAUGUUUCUAAUUGUUGACUAAAAACUAGUCUAUAAUGAACACCAUUUUGCAGAGAUCUUUGCUUCCUUUUAUAGCCAUUCCCUGAGGAUAAACCCUAGUUUCAAAAUUUGAGUCAAAUAUCAGAUAUUUACCAUGUGCUUGUACUUGUUAGGAUACAAUGACAAAAAGAUAUAGUUGCUAUCCUCAAAUGACUUGGUAUCCAGUAAGGAAAAUGAAAUCGGAAUAGGGAUAAGAAAGAUAGUUGAUGUGAAAGGCCACUAGAGAAAUUCAGAUGACCUGUCUUGGGAGUUCACAGGGAAGAGGCAUCUUUCUGGCUAUAGCAGCAUUGUCAGGAUAUGAUCGAACUGUGAGAACUCAGUGAAAGAAAAUGGAUCUUAUACCUUAGAGUUUUUAUUCUAAUGAUGUUAAAUGCAAAGUGACAUUAAAUGGAACACGAUGUCUUAACAGCUGCUUGUAGGACACUGUGAUUAGGAGGAUAGAUUCAGAAGUAAAAUAAACCCAUCUAUCAGGAAUGUAUAAUAGGAAGCAGCUUUGAGACUACCAGUAAUGCAUACGAAAUAUCAGAGUCUCCGAUUUACAUUGACAUACAUUUCUACAGGCAAACGAAUCAUAGGGUGGGUUCAGGUAAUGGGAACUGAUGAAAAUAAAGUAAAAGCUUUCAAUAAAACACAGCAGCAGUUUUUAGAGCAGCGCUGGUUCUCAAAUGUAGGAUGCAUCAGAAUCACCUGCAGGGCUUGUUCAAACAGUUUGCUGGGCCCCAGCCCCAGAGUUUCUAAUUCGGUAGGUCUGAGGUAGAGCAGAGAAUCUGCAUUGGUAACAAGUUCCCAGGGACUAUAUUUAGAGGACCUUUGUUCUAGAGUAUACUAAGUUUUCUCCUCCAGAUCAAAAGAUAUUUAAAAGGUAAGGCAGGGAGGAUUUUUUCCCACUUGUUCAGAGAAAAGAUUGCUCUGUUAAAAAUUCAAAAAUCUAUCUAACUGUGUCUCAAGACAAAAAGAUAUAGUUGCUAUCCUCAAAUGACUUGGUAUCCCAGUAAGGAAGAAUAAAUCAAAAUAGGAAUAAGUAAGAUAGUUGCCUUUUUAAAAAAAGUUUUAAUUUUAUGAAAUAUACUUUUAGGAAUAGGCAGAAACCCAGGACUAUAAAACAAAUAUUAAGUAAGUUAAUAUAUGGGUUUAUGUUUUCCAUACUUUUUUCAAUUUAUUGAUGUCUGUCCGUUUUUCUCUAUAUAUUGAUAAAUACAUAUAUUUUAUAAAUGUAAUCAUAUUUACAUUUGCAUAAUUGUAUACAUUUGUAACUCAAUUCUUUUUUUUUUUUUUUUUUUUUUUAGACGGAGUCUCGCUCCGUCACCAGGCUGGUGUGCAGUGGCGCGAUCUCGGCUCACUGCAACCUCCGCUUCCCAGGUUCGAGCAAUUCUCCUGCCUCAGCCUCCCGAGUAGCUGGGAUUACAGGCCCAUGCCACCACGCCCAGCUAAUUUUUCUAUUUUUAGUAGAGACGAGGUUUCACCAUGUUGGUCAGGCUGGUCUCGAUCUCAUGACCUCAUGGAUCCACCCGCCUCAGCCUCCCAAAGUGCUGGGAUUACAGGCAUGAGCCACUGUGCCCGGCCCGUAACCCAAUUCUUAAACAGCUUUAUUAACAUAUAAUUCACAUGCCACAAAAUUCAGUCAUUUAAAGUAUACAGUUUAAUGUAUUUAAUAUAUUCACAGAGUUGUGCAACCAUCACCACUGUCAACAUGAGAAAAUUUCCAUAACCUCAAAAAGAAAUUCCAUACCCACUAGCACUCACUCUGCAUUUUCCCCAGCCAUAGACAACCAUUUAUCUACUUUCUGUCUCUGAAUUCACCUCUUCUGGACAUUUCAUAUGAAUAGAGUUAUAUAAUAAGUGA
rnacentral:lncRNA from 1 species